CUGCGGCCCAGUACGGGAUCCACUGGGUGAAGCCAACUGGGCUCCUGAGUCUGGUGGGGACUUGGAGAACCUUUAUGUCUAGCUAAGGGAUUGUAAAUACACCAAUCGGCACUCUGUAUCCAGCUCAAGGUUUGUAAACACAACAGUCAGCACUCUGUGUCUAGCUCAGGGUUUGUGAAUGCACCAAUCGACACUCUGUAUCUAGUUACUCUGGUGGGGACUUGGAGAACCUUUGUGUCCACACUCUGUAUCUAGCUAAUCUAGUGGGGACGUGAACUUUUGCGUCUAGCUCAGGGAUUGUAAACGCACCAAUCAGCACCCUGUCAAAACGGACCAAUCAGCUCUCUGUAAAACAGACCAAUUGGCUCUCUGUAAAGUGGACCAGUCAGCAGGAUGUGGGUAGGGCCAGACAAGAGAAUAAAAGCAGGCUGCCGGAGCUGGCAGUAGCAAUUGGCUGGGGUGUUUUUCCGCUCUGUGGGAGAUUUGUUCUUUCGCUUUUUGGGUCCACGCUGCGUUUGUGAGCUGUAACACCGUGAAGGUCUGCAGCUUCACUCCUGAAGUCAGGCGAGAAGACUACGAACCCACCUGGAGGAACGAACAACUCCAGACUCGCCGCAUUAAGAGCGGUAACACCGCGAAGGUCUGCAGCUUCACUCCUGAGCCAGCGAGAUCACGAACCCACCGGAAGGCUGUAACAUAUCUGAACAUCAGAAGGAACAAACUCCGGACAGGCCGCCUUCAGGAACUGUAACACUCACCGCGAGGGUCCGUAGCUUCAUUCUUGAAGUCAGUGAGACCAAGAGCCCACCAAUUCCGGACACAACAGGACACACUGCGGCUUCUCCUGGCUUUUUCAAAGUUCAGCCCAAGAGGAAGAGAGACCUAAUUAAUACCCAGGAGAUGGUGGUGUUUAUUUUUUCCAGCUGGGACAACUAAGGCCCCGAGAGGAGAAAGGGACUAUCCGGGGUACAGAGGCCACUGAGUCAGAGCUAGGACCAACAUAUCACCAGCUCUCCCUCUUCAGCGCAGACCCCAACUCACCAGCGGUGGCUUCCUGAAGAGCUGGGUUAAGGAGGAUUCUGAGGUGCAGCAGAGCUCGCUAAGAGGCUGACGGGUAAGGGGUGCUGCGCUGUGAGCACAGGAGCCAGUGACACAGAUCAGAUGCUGCUGCUGUCGUGGCUGCCACCACAAGAAACAAGAGUGUUGGAGUGCAAAUUCAUUAUCCAGCUGUUAAGAGCGACAGAGCAUGCACACAUCUCUCCCCGACCGGGUUAUCUGAGAGCCAGCCCUGCUGUAUGAUUGAGUGGCUGCCAGCCUCCUCUUCUCUGUAACCUUGACACGCCAGAGCCGGGCCUCCAGUGCACAGGCUAAAAAUCCUAAAGGCAACGGCGGCGGCAACAAAUAGAUGGGUUAAUUUGUUUCAUGCCCCCGUUGUCACCAGGCUCUCGCAGAAUAAAACCACCACCACCACCACCACAACCUCCAUUUGUGGGGUUUAAUACCCCAGCUGCUGGGAAUCAGAUUCAGCCGGAGGAAGAAAAUGUGACGUCGAUGCAGAGAUCCAUUUAUUCGGUGAUGUUUGCUUAAAAACCGGUUUUUCAUCUGCAGGUUAUUCUUGCACGCUUGGACCUCAAGCAACACAAUAUCACAUUUCCAGACAGUCCUACAGUUCAACUCCAACAUCAGGGACUGAGUCGUACACAGGAAGAUCACUGAGUAGGUUCUGUGGAGACGCAGUCGGCCCAUAUGCACGUCACCACUCGGCUCCCAGCUCAGGUGCAGACCAACGGCGACCACUUGCUCCACUUUGCUCUGUGACAGCAGACGAGAGGAAGAACCCCAACUCCCUCAAGGCCCACAGCUAGGGAGUGGAAGACCACCCAAACUGAGGCCAGCUGAGCAGGGACGGCCAAGUCAGACGCAUGCAGGAGCGCCUCUGCCAGAGCACCCAGGACAGCGGGGCUCAAAAGCCUUUGGUCCUGGAACCCUUUCUAAUCUUAAAAAUUACUGAGGACCUCAAUAUGUGGGUUUAUGUGAGUUAUGGCUAUUGAUGCUUAC
rnacentral:lncRNA from 10 species